AAUGUAAGGUGGUUUCCAUGGGUACGUUGACGUCAAGGGAGAUGAAGUUAAUGUGAGCCUUCCUUAUGGCACGCAGAUUGAAGCUCUAAAGCUGAUGUUUGGAAGCCCGCAAGAAAGUUACACUCAUGCUGUGGCGUGAUGCGAUGAAAUGAAGAACAUCGCGAUUGGAACACUGACAGCGAGUAUUGCAUCGCCUCGUGUCAGAGAAUAGCCCCGAAAGAUGACGUCAGAGAGCCAAAACCUCUCUUCGCAGUUCUCCAGAAGAGAAAAAAAACAGAUGGAUGCUUACUCACUUCAUUGCACACGCGAUUGAGGACAACAACAUGUUAUAGUUGAUUUACUUUAUUGUACACCAGUCAAGAUUUUCC